rnacentral:rRNA from 1 species
UAAUACGAAGGGACCUAGCGUAGUUCGGAAUUACUGGGCUUAAAGAGCUCGUAGGUGGUUAGGAAAGUUGGUGGUGAAAUCCCAAGGCUUAACCUUGGAACUGCCACCAAAACUUUUUGACUAGAGUAUGAUAGAGGAAAGUGGAAUUUCUAGUGUAGAGGUGAAAUUCGUAGAUAUUAGAAAGAACACCGAAUGCGAAGGCAACUUUCUGGAUCAUUACUGACACUGAGGAGCGAAAGCAUGGGUAGCGAAGAGGAUUAGAUACCCUCGUAGUCCAUGCCGUAAACGAUGUGUGCUAGACGUUGGAAACUUAGUUUUCAGUGUCGCAGCAAAAGCGUUAAGCACACCGCCUGGGGAGUACGACCGCAAGGUUA